CUCAGCUCACUGCAAGCUCUGCCUCUCGGGUUAAAGUCAUUCUCCUGCCUCAGCCUCGCGAGUAGCUGGGACUACAGGCGCCCGCCACCACGCCAGGCUAAUUUUUUGUAUUUUUAGUAGAGACGGGAUUUCACCGUGUUAGCCAGGAUGUUCUUGAUCUCCUGACCUCGUGAUCCACCCGCCUCGUCCUCCCAAAGUGCUGGGAUUACAGGCGUGAGCCACGGCGCCCGGCCGUAGAUAAGAAUCUUAGAGCUGUUAAAUAUCCCUAUGCUAGAUCAAGAUGGGUCCAGGGACCUAAAGUUGGCUGGAGCCCGCUGGUGGGAUUCAGUGCGGAGCAAACAGAAGCUGCUUGGAACAGUUGGUGUCUCUGAAAUGUUAUCACCUAAGGGUCCACGUGGAGAUGACAGUGAUAGAAGAUGAAGAAACUUUGUCCAGAUGUUCUGGGUAACUGGAAUGUGAAUAUCCACAGGUAUUUGUUGAAAGAAUAAAUGCAUGCCAAGAGAAGGGGAGGCACAGUGGAAGACACAGAGUGAAGAUACAGCUCCUGGUAAUUUCAGCACAAGGCUCUCAAUUCUUAACUGGGGCAGCAGGGAGCUGGCAUCCGCAUAAGCUGGAUAUGGCUUACUUGAGUGAAUGGAUCGCGUGCCCGGUAUUGACAUCCCAGAUUCUUUAGGGUUGUACCUAAAUAAAAAGAUGGAAAAGGAGAAAGUCUCUUUUUUUUCCAUCCAGGAAUCACUUUCAAACCCCGUAUCAUUAUUCAUGAGUUUUUGCAACGUAAGCAUGGCGCCCCUUUCACUUGCAUUUUUACUUUCUGUUUUCCUAAUCACCUGUCUCUUGGGUACAUUUUAUCUGUCCCAAGCAUCCUUACCUUCCCUUUGCCUGUCUUCUUUCCUUCUCUUCUGUCUCCCCUGUCUGUACGUCUUUGCAUGCUCUCUCUCUUCCUCUCUGGACCUCUCUGGGUCAGGAAGGCAUUUAGCGAGGAAAGCAUCUGAGGCCAAACAGCAUAGAUUUUCUCUUCCUCCUCCUCACAGGUUCUUUCUCUGGAAGGGGGCUUCAGAGGAGAGGAUCUUCUUUAGCUCCAUCCUCUUGCUGGGCAGCUUGCUCUCCAGACAAUUCCCUUGAACUUUUCCACAGCCCUAGCCUUCAUAACUCCCCAACCCCAGCCCUGACCCCAAGAUUCCAGGUCCUAACUCUGGGCUCUGCCCUGGCUUGUCUGAAAUCAGGUGUCCUGGAUGAAACAGAAAGUCAGUCAAGAGUUAGGUUGCUUCCCUCACCACUGACAGAUAUGUGAAACUUCGACCAACUAAUUCGAACUCAGAAGAUCAGGAGUAUGGUAGGA
rnacentral:lncRNA from 1 species